GGAUGAACGCUGGCGGCGUGCUUAACACAUGCAAGUCGAACGGUGAAAGAGAGCUUGCUCUCUGGAUCAGUGGCGAACGGGUGAGUAACACGUGAGCAACCUGCCCCGGACUCUGGGAUAACAGCUGGAAACAGCUGCUAAUACCGGAUACGAGCUGCGAAGGCAUCUUCAGCAGCUGGAAAGAAUUUCGGUCCGGGAUGGGCUCGCGGCCUAUCAGCUAGUUGGUGAGGUAAUGGCUCACCAAGGCGUCGACGGGUAGCCGGCCUGAGAGGGUGACCGGCCACACUGGGACUGAGACACGGCCCAGACUCCUACGGGAGGCAGCAGUGGGGAAUAUUGCACAAUGGGCGAAAGCCUGAUGCAGCAACGCCGCGUGAGGGACGACGGCCUUCGGGUUGUAAACCUCUUUUAGCAGGGAAGAAGCGAAAGUGACGGUACCUGCAGAAAAAGCGCCGGCUAACUACGU
rnacentral:rRNA from 1 species